AGCAUCAUCUUGAAAAUGAGGGUUGCAAUAAAUUCUCAUAUCAAGUACCAUCAUCACCAGCCCAUGCUGUUUUUGAUAGAGAGAUGAGAAAGAGCAGGGAGAAUAUGGAUGGAAAUUUGACUAGAGUACACAAACAAAGCACUCAAGACAAGUCUGUAGUCCAUGUGCCCUCUAAGCAGAAACGUAGUCCUUCCAUGGAGGUUGGCACAAAAGUGAUUCUGAAGUCUUCAAUAUAUCCAAACAAAAGGCAUGUGGCACAUGCUAGCAUUUUGGGUUGUAGUUCAAAAAAAAUGGUUGGUGGCGUUGAGCUAGGUCGGCAGUUCAUAGAAGUGCAAGUUGAUCAACCUAUUGAGGAAUGUGAGCGCUUGGUAAGGGAAAGGGAAAAUUGUAUGACAAUUGGCGAUGCUUUCACCUCUGGAUUAACAAUUGCUUGGCCU